UUCCAGAUCAUCUGGAAACUGGUCC
rnacentral:piRNA from 2 species